UUUUUUACGUUUGUAAGUUGCGGUAUGCCGUGUGUGCGUAUUAUAGGGUGCUGCACUUCGAACAUCAGCGCAGCUUCACCUGUCACAGUGUUGACGCUCAAGUGAGAACCAAGUUGUGGUCUUAUUUUUUUGUUACUUUCAAUAUUUGACUUGAUUGCUGCAUUUGAAACAUCCUGCGAGGUGUCACCAAAAUCAGAGGCCAGGAGCAUUUACUCCUCAAGGCAUUUAAGUGAACAAAGCAUCUUCAGCUUAGUAAUCCAGCAAUUAGGCAUGCGCGCGAGGUCUGCAGAAGAUGCCUGUAGCCACUAUGCGCUCGGAGUUUUAAUUUCAGCCCAGUCUUACAUUUCGUGCACGUCUACAUUUAUUGUUUUCCUUUUUUUUAACGGUCCCUCUUCCACAGUGUUGGUAACAUUCAUUUGGACAAAAUCGCGACUUCACAUCCCAAAACGCUCAAUCUUCAGUAAAAAUAAGUUGCUAAGUGAUGAUGGUGACUUGUUCAUUUCCUAAAUGUCGUCCCUAUUAUUUUUAAACUGCAGCUUUGAAUUACUUCUAGCUGUUACAGGCUAAUGGUUGGAAUGCGAGAAAGGACGAAAAAAAACUGUUUUCCUAAAAACACUUUUAAAUCUUAAGAUUCUGCUUUGCCAAGAUCAAACAGCUUUGAUAUGCCCCACUAGUGAGCUCUUCAGCAUGUCCUUAAAAGUAGCGACCAAAUAACCGCGCAUACCAUGUCCCCUUUAGUAAGCGUCCCUCGAGGAAUUUUGCCGGGGCAAUUCGCUGGCUAUUUUUGUCGCUAGCAUAAUCUCUAAGACUCCACAAAUGCGAAACCGUCGUUAACAUUGCCAAAAACUCAUUUAGCUUGGCAACUUUCUAGCUAAAUUACCAACACUGCUCUCGCAGCAUUUGACGAAACACUGCAGUGGUUCUGGUGCUCUGCCUCCAAGCACCAGGUUGCGGGCUGUAGUCUCCUGGCUGCAAUCUAAAUGAAGGGAGAAUGCAGGGAGAGAGGAUUCUUUAAGAAAUGGCUACGAAGUUUGCCUGACUUCGACUCCUCUAGCCCGCUGCUCUGAAUAAAAAUGGACUGCAGGGCAAGUUGGGACAGAUUCAUGAUUUACAACACAAAACGGAGAUGGGGGGGAAAAAUAGGGUGGGCACGAGCAUCGUCUUCCAAUUGAAGUUUUAUUGAAAACAUGAGUCGAUUAUAUAUACAAGGUCACAAAAAAAACAUUAGCGUCAAAACUGGGAUAGCAAAACAGUCACAUGGGCGAAGUGCAGUUAUGUAUUAUCUAAAAAGGCAAACUGCAUCUUAGAGGAAUGGAUGGCUGGCUCACUCAAGACUGCACGUGGUUUUCAUUCCAUAAAGAUUCAGCAAUUUUA
rnacentral:lncRNA from 1 species